rnacentral:rRNA from 1 species
GAUGAACGCUGGCGGCGUGCCUAAUACAUGCAAGUCGAGCGAAUGGAUUAAGAGCUUGCUCUUAUGAAGUUAGCGGCGGACGGGUGAGUAACACGUGGGUAACCUGCCCAUAAGACUGGGAUAACUCCGGGAAACCGGGGCUAAUACCGGAUAACAUUUUGAACCGCAUGGUUCGAAAUUGAAAGGCGGCUUCGGCUGUCACUUAUGGAUGGACCCGCGCCGCAUUAGCUAGUUGGUGAGGUAACGGCUCACCAAGGCAACGAUGCGUAGCAGACCUGAGAGGGUGAUCGGCCAAACUGGGAGUGAGAUACGGCCCAGACUCCUACGGGAGGCAGCAGUAGGGAAUCUUCCGCAAUGGACGAAAGUCUGACGGAGCAACGCCGCGUGAGUGAUGAAGGCUUUCGGGUCGUAAAACUCUGUUGUUAGGGAAGAACAAGUGCUAGUUGAAUAAGCUGGCACCUUGACGGUACCUAACCAGAAAGCCACGGCUAACUACGUGCCAGCCGCCGCGGUAA